rnacentral:lncRNA from 1 species
UCUGUUUCUUACAGGAAGAAAUCAUAGAAUUGUUGGAGUUGGAAGGGAGCCUUACUGGCCAUCUAGACCAACUCCUCUGCAAUGAACGGAGACACCUACAGAUCCAUCAGCCCCUGUCUAGAGACUGACAGGUCACUCUCAGUCUCCCCAGAGCCUACACUUCUCCAGGCUGAAAAGCCACUGCUCUUUCAGCCUGUUCAAGCAGUGGAGGUGUUCCAUCACUUAGAUCAAUUUUGUGGCCCUCGUCUGGGGCCACACUCCCUCAGAUCUAUGUCUCUCCUGUACUGAGGACUCCACAUCUGGACAGUACUCUCACAGCACAGAGCAGAGUGGCAGAAUCAUCUCCCUUGCCUUGCUGGCCACGCUUCUUUUUGUGCAGCCCAGGAUACGGUUGGCUUUCUGGGCUGCAGGGGCAUGUUGCUGGCUCGUGUCCAGCUGACAGUUAUAAAGAUUACCACAGUAAUGACAGAAACGGUAUGGAGGUGCAGUGAUCGGGAAGUUGAAGUCUGACAACUGGAGGGGCUUUCUUCCAUGAAUAACUAACGUACAGAGCCAGAGUGAGGCCACAGAUUGUAGAAACAAUUUGCUUUGCCAAUGAUCCUUUGAGGGGGAAGUUGUUCUGGCCCAUCUAAAUAGAACUCCUUUUAAUGCCUAAUAAAAUACAUACGCAUUUCAAGAUGAAACUUCAGUGUUAAAAGAUAUUUCAUUUAUUUAUACUUAUUUAAAUAUUUUCUCAUGACAUGUCUCAAAGCUUCUCCUUCACAGACUUAAGCAGAGGUAACAAAGCAGUGGUUCGAUUUUUGAUUGCUAGAAAUUGUAGAGGAACUUAUCUUUGCUAUUGCUGUGUGUGUGCAUAUAAUUAUUUGGCACUCUGUGAUGACUGUUCAGCCAGAUUUUACUGCAAACAAGGAUUGUUUUUUGUCACCGAGGCCAUUUCCUUCACAGCAGUCCCAGGUCCAGCUUAUGGCCUUAAAUCAUGGAUGUGUAACUAAACCACUGAAUUUAGAGAAGAAUAUAGGCUUUUUUUUUUCCACUAGAUUUCAAGAGCUCUCCUUGUUUCUUAUGUUCCAGGACCUGUGGUUGAGAAUGAUGGGCAUCACUUUCUCUCCAAUUUUAUCUUUAUGAGAAUAUCUAACAGGGAUGGGGCUCCAAAUUAAGCACGUGAUGGCUUGCGCUGUGGCUAAUUAUCUUUUCCAUUUGUUACCUAGUAGAAUUUUCUAACACUGGGAUUUGAAGUUUGUCAAUUUUCACUAUCUUUCCUCCUAAACUUGGACAUUUCUGCCAAGGCCAACAGUGAAACGAGCACAUUAAAAUAAUAAAUCUCCAGUGAACAGACUAAGUUAUUUACUUUGGAUGAACAAGACUACAUGUAAAACUGAGGAGUGUUUUGGGUUGAUUGGUUACUGGAGGUGGGAGUGCUUUAAGAGUCAAAUGCUUUUACAACAAGCUUUAGUUGUGGGAACAUUUGAGUCUGAAACGUGAAAGAAUGCAGACCUUUCAAAAUAUGGUAUGUGAGAAAAAUGUAUGAUUUAGUGUUUCCAUUUCCAUGGAGGAAAUAGCAGUACUUUGUUUCAACCAAAUGAUAAAUUUCCUUUAGUCAUAUGAUGAGGGAAAUAAAUACUUUCUAAUUUUUGUCAUAGCAGUUAAGAGAAAAGUUUAGGUAUCUUAAAAAAUAUCCUGCUAUAUAGAAGGACUUGGUUAUAUUAGUCAUUCAUCAGAGGAUUACAUUUUUCCUCUUCUAUAGAGAAAACUGCUCUGAAAAAUAAAUAGAAAAAACUGUUAAUCAGAACUUGAGGUGGGAUUCUGUGGUCAUUUGCUCUGUCAGACCAGUUGUAAACAUUACUACUACUUGGGCAAAACUAUGCUUGUUUGUUGAAUAAUUAUAACAAUGGGAUGGUAGUGCUUUGGUAAGACAGUGUUUUGGUAUAUGAGACUUUUGAAAGCAUGUGUUUUCUGAAAUGUAUGUUCUUCAGUAUGUCAUACAGCUUUCCAAUUGUGUAUUGUAGGGAAAUAUGGAAGGAAAAAUUUCAUGCUGCAUCUGGGUGGUACUUAGAGUUCUACAUGUAGGAUUGAUAGGGCUUUUGUAUGUCUUGGGAAAUAGCGUAGAGACAUAACUAGGUGCAAAAUUACAUGUGGCUAAACAUCAAUAAUAAUCAUUGCUACCUUUAUGCCUCUCGUCUAUUGUUUGUUUUUGUUGUUGUUGUUGUUACUUAAUCCUAAGAACAGGAAGGUUUUCUGAAACUGCAUGAGAUGUUAAAAGUUUGUAGGGUGGAAGUAAGCUGAAAUUGUAGAUUACUGAGCUACCCGAUGCUUAAGGUGGCUGAAUCUUAGGGUACUGCUCAAGAGUGGGAUCUACAGUGCUGAUCUCCUUAGAAAUGGAAAUAGUUAUUUGAGAGCUGAAAGAAGAUUCAUACUUGUUGUGACUCUGUCUGGAAUGAACAUGACUGACUUCUGGCAGCUUUCACUCAUGGCAUUGCACAACGGAAGGCUCAGUUCAGUUUGAGUUUGAGAGACUUAAUUAUGUGAUGUUGAAGCAGUUGUACUAUUUUCAGUGACACAACUUAAAACCUGCUUCCACAAAAUUAUACAUCAGUGGGAUGAUAUUGCAACUAAAGUCAAAGAUGUCCUUGUAUGUGUUGUGACAUUGUCAGAAUUCUAUUUGAUGGAGUCUGACAGAGGCGUGUGGUCUUGAAUUAGUAUCCUUUCAUAACAAACAUGUUGCAGGCCUCUUAAACGUAUGGAAAAACAUGAGAGGUAUUAUUGAAAUUUAAACCUUUAUUGCAUUUAUGAAUAAGCAUUCUUCAGUAAUAAUAUUUUUAGAAGUAUGCAGUUUGACAGGCUUUGAGCUACUGCAUAAAACUCUUCAUGAGCUGCUUCUUGGUCUACCUCUCAUUAUGUACCGUAAUUGUGUGGCCUGGCUUGCUUCCAGUAAAUUGCUUCUCUGGCCCUGUGGCAGUCUUACCACCAUCUCUUAUUCAACCUCUCUUCACAAGAAGAGUCCAAAAAAACAUGGUGAGGGGUGAGAUGACCAGUGGUUACCAUACACUCAUGGAGAACCCAGCUGCUCAGAUAAGUUGUGUAGUCCUGCAGGAGAAAUUUCUGUGCCUUGAAGAGAACAUGUACCAAUUACCCCUUUGGUAAUUCUAUUAAAAGAUGUCUUUUCAUAUGCACGCAGUUGUAUUUUAACCUUACAGACUAUCUUUGCUAAGUUACAUGCUUGUUGCAGAAGGCCUAGUGGCUUUGUAUUUUAGCUGGAGGAAAUGUCUAUUGAAUGUGUGUUGAAUUUGGAAAUCUGAUUUGGCUCAAUUAAAAUGUGAUUAAGCUUUCUGUCUCCAUUGUAGAAGCUGUUAGUGCUCUGGAGAAACAUUUAAUGUUGAAGGCUGGCCUGCUGGUUUUGGCUGAAAUAGAAAUAUGCAAUGCUCUGAGAAAUUCCAGGACUCCCACUAGGUCAAAAAUUUUCUCUCAACUGCAGCAUUUCAUCAAGUUCCCCUAGUAACGUGUCUCAGUGUAUCACAAUCAUGGUUGCUUGGAAAUCCACCAACUCUGCAACGAGCUGAGAAUAUUUAUUGCAAGUGCUAGAUGGCAUUCUCUUAGCAGAGAUAUCUGGUUAGUUAUUGCCAUACGUCCCAGUUUCAGAGUGAAAUUGUUCCAUUUGUCUUACUGCAUGUUUUGAGCUUCGGAUUAGACAAAUUCAGUUAUAUGAGUAUUUAUCUGGUGUAAUUAUAUUAAUUACAUUAUUAUUAAUCAACUUUACCAAUCUGACCAUUUAAAUCUGAGCUAAAUCACAAGUUGACAAUACUUUGAGAAGCUCCUGGUGUAAUUCAAAACAUUGUGCAGAUGUCCAAAAUCCCUGCGUUAGUCACCUUGUUAUAGCCAGACUAAUUGGGAACUCUGUGAUACCGGCUUGUUUCAGUACAUCUAAUUUCUACAAGACCCAUUUCAAGCUGAUCUUUUUAUGGAAUGUGUUUUUUUUUUUUCCAGGUAAAAAUAAAGAAGGCUUUACUUAAUGUUUGUGGUGCACCUGUUCUCUGCUCUAAAACUGGCUGACAGCGUAGCUGAAAUCUCAGAGCAGACAUUUCCUGGCUUUGGUGCAGUGUUUUCGAGCAAGCUGCUAAAAGUGGUCUAGCAAGUUGUUAUUUCAGGAAUCGUUUUCAACUGGAGGAACAAUGAGAUUUGCAUAAAGAACCAAGAAACUCUUUUGUUACCACUCUGGUCUAAAGAUGUCAAUAACGUAGUAAGUCUGUAGGAAAAUGAGCCAGUUACUUUCCAUGGAGGCAGGGUAUGUUUAGUAUUUUUUGACUCUGAUGUGCUGGGUCUCCUAGACCCCUUAUUCUAGGAUGCACGUUUCUAGACAAUUUCAGGAGCCUUCGCAGUGACCUGAUGUACAGUUUCUUCGUGAGAAACUUGGGCAGCAGAGGUCGUAUAUUCCAUACUGUGAGCCUCCCAGCAUCAUCUCCGUGUGGUCCCAUGUGGUAAAGGGUUCUCAGUUUUCUUUUCAAUACCCUGCCUAUUCUGUCCUCAUAGAAGCACUUAUGAUAGUGUUCAGAGAUGGUUUUUGACUUCAUGGCUUCUUAAAAAAUAAAAAUAUAAAAGGUCCUAAAUGCAGCUAAUGGGACAUCAGUAAAUAUUAGCUGGGGCCUAAUUUCUGAAAACAUUUGGGCAUCUUGGGCCUAUUUAGUUCCUGAGACCUGUUAAAUCCCAUGUGAAAUAAACACCAUGUGAGAGGUGUUGUUGUGGAACUCAUGCAAAGGGAACUGCCAGAGGUGGUGCCAUGAGGAUCUGCGAGACAAGGAGUGGGCUGCAGGGCUCACGGCUCUACCCAGUGCUAUAACCACUAGAGGACACUGCCUCCAUUGUUACUGGGGAAAUUAAUCAUUACACGUUUAAAACUGCCAAAUUGCAGAGGUCUUCCUUCUGCUGACUUAACUUAAUCUCAGAUACUAUUUAUUUAUUUGUUUUGUGCCCCAACUAUUUACAGUGGUGCCAUAUGCUCAGGUUCUACUUUAAGUGCUGAAUCAAUGCCCAGAGAAAGGCAGCUCUGCUGCUCUUCCCCAGGUGAAAACAAAUGCCUUGUCUUAUUGCUCGGUGUCUGAGAAGGCAGAGCCACACAGCAGACGACUGUGAGUUGCUGAGCCCACUCAUCUGUGAGCAGUCAGAUCCUACUUAUUGUUAUGACCCAUGCUGGGUUCCCUAAGCCUUUGUUCUGAGGGCUGCCACCAAGGCCUGCCUGGGAAGGUGGGCUGCUGCUCAGACCCUGCCUCAAGGGCAGCUCCAUGGCAUCACCCCCAGGCAGUGGGUGAGAGGGAAUGUGAAGGCCAUGCACCUGUGGGACUCCUCGUGAAGGUCAGGCUGUGGAUGGCAGAGGUGGGAUGAUGGCCUCACGCUUCAUCAGCCCAUGGUGUUGGUGUCUGGCAGAGGCACAGCACCACCACGUGUGUGAUGCCUGGCCUUUUGUGUGUGUCCAGCUUGUGGAGGCACUGGGGGCACAGCUUCACUUCCUUUGGGAAGGAAGAAGGUGCAAUUUCUUUCCUUCUGUCUUCACCUCAGACAACUCUAACAGCUUCCAAGCUAGGCUGUCUGGCAAACAGCGUUUUUUUUUCUGUAUUUGGAGCCAAAUGGGAAUACAGAGACAUUUCAGGGAAAACUGACAGGAUCUGCUGCUCCUUUCAUUGACUCCAGUAAUUAUAAACUGAUCCCAUGGUAGCAGCAGGACUGCAUCUAGACUUUAAAUACCGUGAUUACAUUCUCAGUACUGCUCCAACAAUGAGGUAUAUCUUGAAAAGCAGUAAAUAUUCUUGUGUUCAAUCCUGCAGCUCAUUCCUGUUGUACCACGAACAUACUGAGUUUGUACGUCUUUCCUCAUGAAUCAGAUAAAUGCAUCUCCUCCACAAGCUGCCUAUUUUCUUGUAUACUGUGCAUCACUUCCCCUGAAAAUUGGAAAGAGGUAAUUUGCUGGUUAAAGUACAGAGCUGGCUCCGUUAUGUCGUCAUGAAUCACUGAGAUGUCUAAGAUUGAAUUCAUCUCUGAUAAAGUGGUGUUACAGCAGCGAGGAAAUAUGAUAGUCUGGAAGUAUUCAUCAGUCAAUUCCUAUGCUGUGUCAAUACUGGUAUGCCCAAGUGCAUUGUAUAGAAACUGCUUACAUUUAUCUGCAGUGCAUCUUGCUGAUUUCCAGCAUCUCCCUCUGUACAAGAUCUCCAAAAUGUUCUCUUUAUGUGGAAAAUUUUGUCUUUUAUUAAUAAUGGUGAUGCAAAGAACCUAAAAGAGGAGCCUAGAAGGAAAAAAUAGACUUUUCUCCUCUGUAAGUGACUCUUACAGUCCAGAUGUGCAUAUGGAGCUUGAUCGGUUCUUUACAGCUGGAGGCCCAAACCAGCUGCAUAAGCAAUGAAAAAUGUAAAUAGUUUGUGCUUACAUUAUUAGGAGAGCACUUGGGUUUGUCUUAAAGACUUGCUAUAGGACUGCAUCAAAUUCUCUUCUGUGUUGCAUCAAAUAAUGUGUUUUUUUUGCUGUGAGGUCAGUACUCUCUGCAGUUUGACCUCUAGUUGUACCUCCCAGGCCUGUUGCUCACACAAACUGAUCUUUUUCUCUUGAAUCAGCUCUUCUCUCUGGGGGUGUCACUUCCAGAGUUAGCACAGCCCCCAGCUGCUAAUACGAUCUCUGCAGUGCGACUAAUAUGUAUUGCUGUAUCUUCUUCCAUUUCAGUGGGGCUGAUGUUAAAGGAGUGAACCUGAGAGCAGCAAACUCAGUGAAAUCUGUGACGAAAGCAGCCAUAAAUGAAUGUUUGUUAGGUUCUGUAUAUGUUGAUAGAAUUAAUAAUAAAAUCAUAGAAAAGAAGUCAGUAAACAGGCCAGCUCAGUACAACAGGGUAGAUGAGCUGCGAGACCUCAGCAUGCCCAGCAGAACACCCAGUAAGGAGAUGUUGGCUGCACUGUGGGGUGGCAGACUGGGCUGCUGGGGGUUGAGCCCUGGCCCGGUACCUGACACACCUGCAGAGAGCCCUGGUGGAGAAAGGAUGGGCCUUCAUGGGGAUCUGUUGCUUUCUGCUGUCAAAGCAGUCCUGCUGCUCAUGGUGAUUAAUUUUCUGUAUCAUUUAGAGGGCUCUUCUUCCCCUUUGGGUCAAGGACAACUGUAAUUCUCUCCAGGACUGUGAUUGCCUUGUGUGUCUCACCAAGGGAUGCCCGUGUGCUGCCAGGGAGCAAACCAGAUCCAUGCAGUGUGUUGAGUGAAAGCCAGGUAUGCUAUAUAUGGCAAAAAGUUAUAAAGCAAUUUUUAAUAAUCUUGUUAUUUACAAGCAGAAUUUUUAUUGUACUUGCUAUUGAAAUCAUGGGAUGUGUUUCUCAACUGUUGUGCUAUUAUCAGCCAUUUCAUAGAAUAGAAUGGGGUGGGUUGGAAGGGACCUCGGGAUCAUCAAGUUCCAACCAUCAGUAAGCAUGCAACCUCACCAAGAGCACAUCAGAGACUCAGGUUUGGGUAUACGCUACUGGAUUCUGCUUAAACUUUGCUGUCUGUCAAAUAAAUGUUGCUGACAGCUGAGCCAAGCCUCCUGCCCCACCUGGUGCCUGCCCUUGAUGGUGCUGUGCUGCGUCUUCAGCUUCCAGCACUGCUGCUGACUCCUCUCUUGUUUUGUCCUGAGAUCAAUAAAAGCUUCCGCUCAUGAAGGACUUGAGCCUCAAUGAGUGAAUAGAUGCAAAGUGGCCCAACCCACGAGUCAAGCUUUUUGUCUCUCUCCAGCAGUAGGACCGUAUGUUGGAUGCCCUUGGCUUCAAGCCCAAGGGCUGUAGGUGCUCAGGGAGCUCAGCAGGGGAGCAGGGUGGGCAAACCAGCAGGACCUGAGCCAGGUGCUUCGGAAGAGCUGCUGGAGAAAGUACUAACAUUUCACUCCUGACAGCUUCGUACCUGGAGCCAGAUCUUAGCGUGGUGUAACCUCUGCUGCCAAGGAUUUUGGCAUUGAUUUGGCGUAUGGGAGUAAUUCAGAGUAGGUGGAGAUGGUGAGAGGAAUGAACCCAGAUGAAUUUUGAAAUACUUUUCAGUGAAAUGUUGCAAUAGAGCCAGAUGAUCUACAGGGAUCAAGCUCUGAUGAUUAAAUUCCACGUUUAAAUAAAUAAACAUAUUAGAGUCCUUCAGCACUAAAUCACAGUGAUGUUAUAUUAGGCCCUGAAAAGACGAUUGAAAGAUUACUCAUUUAGCAAUAUUCUAGAAAUUAUUUUAUGUGCCUGCCUUUAAUAUCCUCUGACAUGUACUUUUUAAGUGAUUUAUCCGUGCAUUCACAGACAUCAUCUUUGCUUGGAAUACAGCAGAACCAGGUCUUUGAUAUUUAGAUCCACAUAAUUGUUCUUGGAAUUUUUUCUCUGGAUGAAGCUUUUGGCACUGAUGAUGCUUUAUGUGAAACAACCCUGUAUCUGGAUCUCAUUCAUUACAGAUCUUGAAAAGAAAUGUCUUGGCUUUCAAACAGGGACAUGGAACUCUUUAAGUGAUGGAUUUGAACUAUAAAUGUGCAUGUACAUUUCAAUAUACAUUCCUUAAAUACGUAGAGCUUAUGUAAGGAUCAGAUCUGUAUAUUAUAGGUAAGUGUAAAUUCUAAUAUUUUGCAGUCAAUGGAAUAGGCACCUUUAUAUUAAGGGUUUGUAUAGGGUAAUAUUUGAGGAAUAAAUAUAUUUCCUUGACUUCUGUUUCGGUUAUGAAUACAAAUCAAAAGUGUUUCUGUACAUGCAGUUCUGUCAGCUUGUUUCUGCUGUUUAUCCUGCUUUGUACUGGGGUGUUCAGUGGUUGUCCUACAGGGAGUGCUGGGCUCCUACAGGGAGCUGGGAUCCUUGGGAUCCGGGCACCUGGGCUGAGAGCCGUGCAAAUGUAAAGCACAACAGCCUCUGUGCCUGUUUAUAAAUUACUACAAUGCAGCAGCAGUGUAAUAGAUUUUCUGUCUCUGAUCUGGAUGCUUCUAAUUCUCGAAAGGUGUUUAUGAGCUGUGACUCAUCCCACUGCACAGCAGCGUAACUACUUGUAGUGUGUAGCAUUUAAGUCAUCCAUCUAUCGCUUCAGGUUCAGGUUUAUCACUGCAGUGGGAGGGUGGUUCCUGGAGCCCCCAGUGUGGAUAUGCUGUUGGGUGGAUGGAGUGCAGUACAGGGUUGUACUAAAGCAAUGCAGCUUAUAUGAGCAGAGCCUGGCAAUUCCAACUCAGAACUUUUUAUGCAGGCUUUUGUCUCAGGCUGACCUACUGUGGCAUCAGCACUUAAGGACAAGAAGUGAUUUUAGUCUCAUCUCUGUGCUGCCUAACGCCUGGCCUCUGCUGAGUGUACCAUGACUGAAGCCAGUGGUGGUCAUGUGUUUGCUUCAGACUGUCAUAAAUUGCCUUUAUUAAUGGCAGAUUAUAUAAAUUUCAGCCAAAUCUUUAUCAGCACUUAGGCCAGACACCAGAUAAACAGUUGGCCUCAGCCCUGGCCUCUAAUAAAACUGUACAUGAAACUGGAUCUCAGCUUUGCUCUUUGAGCACAUGCUUAAGCAGUGAGCUCGUUGCUCAGUGCUGUAAGCUGGCAGUGCUCCUCAGCCUCACUGCCCUGGCUCUCCUGAGCACUACAGUUGGGGUUGCACCACACUUCUUUACACCCCCAGGGAUUGGCUGUGCCCCACAUUGCACAUUUUGAGGCAAGCUUCUCUCAACAUCUGUUCUUUGAGUUCCCUGCACCUGACCAAAGGCACCAGGAGAAAUCUCCUACAGUGGAGAAGUGAUUUCUAGCUGUGCUGUGGUCACUCUGGUGGGGCUUUGCCCAGCUACGUGUGCCAGCCUUGGGGUGUGGCAGCCAGAGCCCUGAUGGCACACAUGGCACAGUGCUGUGGGGUUGCACUGCAGAGCUCUGAGCUCUUGCCUUUAUAUACUGUUUUUCUAAUAUAUAUAUAUUUUUCGAGUCUUUGAAAUACUUUUUGACAUCUGCUCUUUAUUACAUAACAAUAUAGCUGUCCUUUUAGGACAAGAGAUUUUUCAUUAUCCAUUUCAAAGUUAACAAUUGUGUUUCAAAACACCCAUGAUAGCUGGGAGGGAUUUGUUUCAGGUGAUUUGGCAAUGUGGUUGAGUCCAACUACAGCAUUGUUUUCUGUUCCAUGUCUGUUUUACCUUGGUUGCAACUAAGCAGCUUUCUAUCAGAGUUCCUGGAUUUGCUUUUAUUGAAGAAAUUCUUUGACUUAUCCUGGAUGGAUGAUGUGCAACUGGGAGGGAACCCAAACCGUGCAGCAUGGGUGUACUGAGCACAUCUGCACAAGGGUUGUGUUAGGACCUUGUUGGGGAUUUUCUCCUUUCUGAUUAAGGUGUCACAGACACUUCAAUUUUUUUACACCCAAGUGAAAAACCUAUCUAAGCUUUGAAGAAAUGCCAGGUAUUAUGUGAAAAGUUUUAAAACAGAGACAUGUAGCACCAAAAACUUUGACCUCUCUUUCCUCCUUUUGUAUCACGCAACAUCAGUUGUGCUUCUUCCUCUGAAAUGCCAGAGCUGAGCAUAGAACCUGGUCUGUGUCCCAAAAGGAUAUAACAAAGGCAAGGCAAAGGAUAUGCUGUCUGCAAUGGUAAGAGUGCAAAAGCACUUCGACUUAUGUCCUGAGCAACUACCAUGGCACCACCUCAGUGUUGCAUCCAGGAUGUGCUACGGGUACCUGUCCCCUUGCUCCUGCACUGCUCUGACAGGCAGAGGAGCCCUGUGCUGCUCAGGGCUGUGUGAGCAAGAAGCCUUGCUGCUGCAAAUAGGGUGGGGGUUUCUCUUUGUCCUUGGCUUGGGUUUGCUUGUUUGUCUUAAGAAAAUGAUUAAGCUUUUAAUGUAUAAGGAAAGGGAAAUGUUUCCUACAGAAAAUGCUAAUGAGCUGAGCGUUUCAUUUGUUUCUGGAAAUUUGUAGUUCUUUAAUUUUAUGUAUGUAAGGGAAUUUUUCUUAUCUCUGGGACAGUUGGAGGACAUUUCAACCUUAAAAUAUGAGUUUCCUUUUUAGCGAUGUUUAACACAUAUUGAAAAGAAAAAGGCCAGGCUGUAUGUAUGAACAGCAAUGUCAUGCCCUGAAGCACACAUCCCCUUUUGACCACGUGAGUCAGUCCAUGUGCAGCUGAGAAGGUAACACAGGAUUUUCUGUACUUGACGCCUUUUGCAGAUGUGGUGCUGGGGCUCCCAGCUCAGCCUGCCAUCUCUUUGGUCGAGAAAAAGAAAUCAUGGGAACAAAAAGAUGUUCCUAUGUAGGAGGUUUGUUCCAUUCCAGAUAGCAGCGUCAUGAGGCUGAAGCUGGGGAUGUGCUGUGGGCUGCUCUUCUGCGAUACAGGAAAACAGGCAAGGUGAGCCUUCUGAAAACUGGCAUUAACUGGAGAUGCACAGCUGACUCAGCUCCCUUGCUGAAAACACCCAGUGAGUUUGACCCUUCUUGUCUUUUCCAGUGUACAGAACAUGUCUGAGGAACAAAGGAAGCUGCUGCCCUCAUAGGGGUGUACUUUGGUUGCAAUGAAUGUGACUUCUUCAUCUCUGUCCAACGUAUUUUGAUCAGAUGAGAGACAGUGUGUCCCUGGGCUUUGUGCUGCUCAGGGCUGCCAUGCAGUGCUCUCAAAAUACCCUGGGGUUAUCUCCCAAGAUAAGGAGCUUUGUAUUGUGCUCCUCAGCUGGGCUACCACCCUCUGCUUGCUCUGAUCUGCUCCCUUAAGAAUUCUGGUGUCACAACCCUAGCACACUGGAUGGAGAAAAUAAGAGUGCUUUGUAUUCUAAAUUUACAACACAGCAGGGUGCAGCCGGCUUUAAGCAGGACAGAGACCAGAACAGCAAGGCCGCAAGGCAACUGAGUUUGACCUGCUCUUGAUGGCCAAAUGCUACUUGCUCUAUUUAACCAUUGUGACUGCUGCAGACGUGGAGCAAAGCAGCAGCUCUGCAUGAGUCCCGGCCCACCAGCAGCACUCCUGGCUCCAGCUGGCAGUGCCUCACUGUGAGGCGCAUUCUUGUUCAGCCUGCAAGGGCACAGGAGCUCGCUGCCCUGCUUGUGCCUUGCCAGGUGUUAUUUCUGAUCCCUGUGCACACAGCUCCAUUGCAGGGUGGUACAGCUAUCCUAGAAGUGAUGGGUUACCUGCAGGAAGGGCCCUCCUUCAGGCUGCUUUUUUCCAUCAGUAGUUUCCCUGUUCAGAUUGAGAACGUUUUGCUGUAGUUGGCUCCGAAUGCCGGGCACGCAGCAAUAUCACUUUAGACCUAAUCAAAAAUCUUAAAAACGAGAGUUAUCGUGGGGCUUUGCAUGGCUCCAGAGUGAGAUCUACAGGCUGUGGUGGUGUAUCUUGCUGCCUUUAAAGAUUAUAGUGCUUCUCCUCUUUCAAAGGAUGGCAGUUCACAAAAAUCCUUCAGAUAGCGUUGCAAUCUGAAGAAACAGUUCUACAGUUCGAGUUGUUAGCAUAUUUGUAUUAAGUAACUUGUUCUUACGACCAUGAGAACAUAGUGUGUUUGCUUUUCCUCCAGGGUAAAAGCAUAGUUUCGUUUCUGGAGAACAGAGCUCUGUCAGACCUGCUGCUUGCAAGAUGUGGAAAGGAGGGAGGGAGAAAGAUUUGCCAUUGACUAAUUUAAGGGGUCUUCUAAUUGUCUCCAACAUUUAAACAGGCUUCUCUUCAUACAUCUAUUAGGCCCUUUUCUGUGCUAAAUGGCUCCAUUAAAUGGUUUUCCAGGUCUUAUGCUGGCCAGACAGCUACUAAAGUCAAUGGGAGUUUAGCCUCUGAAAGAAAUGGAGCAUCAGUUCUUCCGCCAGGUGAAAUAUAUCAUUCAACAAAAGCUAAACCCUUAUUCAGAGAAUCUAACAAGCUAACGUAAACAAGGGCACAAAGCUUUUCAAAUCCUGCUCAGCAAUUUUUGCAGAAGUAAUGUCUUUUACAGCACUAGAGCAAGUUCCAUAGGAAAGCAAGCUGGGAAUGCAUGUGGGCAGCUGCCUCCGCUGGGAGGUAGGGCUGGGGCUGCCAUAGCCGUGGGAGCAACACCAGAGUGAUUUGAUUAGAAGAUGCCAUUGGGCUGCUGUCCUGCCCCCAGCUGUGAAGGGUGCGAGGAUGCUGGUUCCGGGCAGGGCGUGCAGAUGUGUAAUGGGGAGAAAAUUCCCAUCCAUGUGUGACUUCUGCAAUGUGAAUCACAUGGAGCAGCCCACGGUUGGCUAACGUAAGUAGCGCGUGCUCACAUUCCCAUCGGGUUGCUUGCUUUUCGUCUGCCUCUAUCAAAACAGGUGUAAGAGUAGAUAUAGAAAAAGAUUUUUUCUAUUGCUUUAGAAGACAAGAAUGUGCUGUGUCGGAGAGGCAUUCAAGGUCAUGCUGAAUGGACUCUGAGCAUCCUGACUGAGCUGCAGAUGUCCUUGGUCGUUGCAGAGGAGUUGGACUAGAUGUCCUUUAAGGGUCCCUUCCAGCUCAAAUGAUUCUGUGGUUCUGUCUUUUAGUUGCUUUCUAUGAUUCUAUGAAAGGCAGACUUCCACAAAUGAAUAGUUGCUAAAGGCAAAUGACAGUAUGUCCUCUUCAGCUAACACCUGAAGCAUGUUGUUCGCCCAUGGAUAAGCUGGGCUCCUGUCUGUCUGCAUGUCCUUCUCCCCUCCUCUGCUCCUGAGAAGGGGAUGGCUGGCACAGCAAGGAAAACUGGUGUUCUGAAGUGAGUAUGUCUGUUAGAUCCACUAGUAGAGGCGUCCCCUCAUUGCUGUCUCACUGAGCGGCACCUCUGGAUCUUCUCUAUGGCCUGUGCUGCUCCCAUGUGUUGCUGAACCCAACAGCAGCCUGUAAACCACAGCUGCUGCUAUGCUCGGGACUUCCUCUGUGCAGAACAUACCACAGUAUGAUUAUCCUCUUCACUCAUCCUGUUCCUGUGUUGUUUUUUGCUACACUGCCCACAGCAUGAUAGGGAGAGACCAUCCUGCUGCUCUCCAGGUGCUGGGGCCAGGCCUGGGGCAGGGCAGGCUGAGGGAAAGGAGGGCAGUGAGGAGCGGCUAUGGCUUUAGAGGUGAGUUGUAGGGUGAAUGUGCCCCUUCAGCUUGUGUCUCCUUGCUGGCAGGGUGAUUCACAUCAGUGCUCAACCACGGGCUUACUGAGCUUCACAGAACAUUUGCUAUUUAAGAGGGAUGGAAGGCUGAAUGAAAAGCUGAGUCAGGAUUUAAAGAAGUAUACAUGUGCUCCUUCUCUUUAUCGCCUACGGAUUGGUCAGAAAGUGAAUUCCUCAAGCACAAAGGUUUCUACUCCUCUCCAGGAGAAGCCUAAUUCACUGUACCAGAAAGAUGUUCACUUAAAACGCUGCUGAUGUUCUCACACUGCCAUUCAUUAGUAGAGAUGGGCUGGUUUCUUCCUAUUUGUUUGAUUUUUAUUUGGAAACAGUAAGAGGAAAAAUGUGCCCACUGUGAACAUUUGGUUCACACAGGUCUGUGUAUUAUUUCAGCUGGAAAAGUGCAUUAUGAAUUCACAGUGGCUCUCCCAGCUGAAAAUCGGCACUGGUGUCUGUGCCCCAUGAAUCAGGAGCUGGCAUCCUUUCUGCAGGAAGCACCACAUUGAGUGGCUGGGUAUAUUGUGUUUGUUUGCUGAUUUUUUUUUUUUUUUUUACUGACUGCAAUAGGAGCGGCCACCCAGUGUGCUGGGCAGCCUCGGCAAGCUUUUAACAACGUGUGAAACAGAUUUGCUUAUUCCCUGAAUCAAAUCAAACAAAGCAGUGAUCCCAUAACCACGCUUUUGUAAAAGCUCGUAAGUGGUGUUUAGAGAUGGGCACUGUGAAGAGAUCAGUGCUGUUAGCCAGCUCCAGCACCUCGGCUUUCUGCUCUCUCAUCUGGGUCUCUCUGCCUGUCUCUGGUGCUGGUUUCUCUCCUUAGGACUGUGCUCUGCAUUGCUCCUGGUGGCACAGAAGGACGGUGUGUGCCAUGGGAAUGCUGCAGGGUUUCUGCAGCCCCCAGUUUUCCCGGUGACAGCACAAGCAGCAGCAAUUUGGCUGGGCUGGGAUGCAGGCACAGGAUGCUGUGGCACUGCUUUGAGGUCCCACCGUGCUGUUUUUGUGAGGAGUCAAAAGAAUCCAAGUGUGCUUGAGGCUGGGUCAGAGAUCUGCUUGCUUCUCUCAGGAGUAUGGAGGGGUUUUGCGUGGGAGAAAGAAAAAGGGUCACAGCCUCCACAGCUCUCUCUCAGCUCCUGGAGAAGGAAGAGGGAAAUAAGAAUGAGAAGAAGCCCAAUAAACUACCUACCUUUUAAUUUCUCUCUUCUGUAUAAAAAGCUUAACCCAAUGUCUGCUGUGUUCUCCACCUCCACUGUCCACUGUGCCUCGGUAAGUGGAAGGGCUACAGUGGGUGUGCAGACUGCAGGAGCCCACAGGGCGUUCCCUGGGGAUGAGGACAGAAGAGCCUGUGACUUCAGAGGAGGUGAGGGAUAGAAGAAGGGGUGAGGAGUGCUGGUGUGUUGGCUGUGGAGUGAGGGAGAGGAGCCAAGAGGUGAGAUCGAUGGCUGGUGGCUGCCUGCAGGUGGGUGGUGGGCAGGGGACACCUGCAGCUCUGAAGGACCGGGUGUCCCCUUGCUGUUGGGCAGCUGGUCCCAAAGGUUUGUUUUUGCUCCUGCCAAAGGGCAGACAUGGUUUGAGUUGAGACACCUGGCGCAGGUACCAGGAAUGGCAUCAUCAGAGAAAAAUGGAAGGCAGUACGAAAAAUUGCCUAAAUAUUUCCAUAUGUUUCCAGUAGGUUUUGCAGGCCAUUCUGAGCACUACGCUUAUGGACGUGGUUAUGCUGUUCCCAGACACUGACCUGACUGGAGCAGCGGGAGCUGAACACGCCUGCAAGUCUCUAGCUGCCUUCUGGCCACAGUGUGGGUGUCUGGGAAGGCUGCAGCUGCAGCAGAAGUGGAAGCACAUGGGAAAAUGACUCACCUCCCAGGGGCUAG